AGCGAACGCUGGCGGCAGGCCUAACACAUGCAAGUCGAACGAACCUUUCGGGGUUAGUGGCGGACGGGCGAGUAACACGUGGGAACGUGCCUUUAGGUUCGGAAUAACUCAGGGAAACUUGUGCUAAUACCGAAUGUGCCCUUCGGGGGAAAGAUUUAUCGCCUUUAGAGCGGCCCGCGUCUGAUUAGCUAGUUGGUUGAGGUAAUGGCUCACCAAGGCGUCGAUCAGUAGCUGGUCUGAGAGGAUGAUCAGCCACAUUGGGACUGAGACACGGCCCAAACUCCUACGGGAGGCAGCAGUGGGGAAUCUUGCGCAAUGGGCGAAAGCCUGACGCAGCCAUGCCGCGUGAAUGAUGAAGGUCUUAGGAUUGUAAAAUUCUUUCACCGGGGACGAUAAUGACGGUACCCGGAGAAGAAGCCCCGGCUAACUUCGUG
rnacentral:rRNA from 1 species